GACGGAGGGUGCAAGCGUUGUUCGGAAUUACUGGGCGUAAAGGGCGCGUAGGCGGUUUGCUAAGUUCGGUGUGAAAGCCCCUGGCUCAACUGGGGAACGGCGCUGGAAACUGGCAGACUAGAGUACCGGAGAGGAGGGUGGAAUUCCUGGUGUAGCGGUGAAAUGCGUAGAUAUCAGGAGGAACACCGGUGGCGAAGGCGGCCCUCUGGACGGAUACUGACGCUGGAGGCGCGAAAAGCGUGGGGAUCAAACAGG
rnacentral:rRNA from 1 species